GGACGAACGCUGGCGGCAUGCCUAAUACAUGCAAGUCGAGCGGASUUGAWRAGAAGCUUGCUUCUYUGAURGUUAGCGGCGGACGGGUGAGUAACACGUAGGCAACCUGCCCUCAAGYUUGGGACAACUACCGGAAACGGUAGCUAAUACCGAAUAMUUGUUUUCUUCGCCUGAAGGAAACUGGAAAGACGGAGCAAUCUGUCACUUGGGGAUGGGCCUGCGGCGCAUUAGCUAGUUGGUGAGGUAACGGCUCACCAAGGCGACGAUGCGUAGCCGACCUGAGAGGGUGAUCGGCCACACUGGGACUGAGACACGGCCCAGACUCCUACGGGAGGCAGCAGUAGGGAAUCUUCCGCAAUGGGCGAAAGCCUGACGGAGCAAUGCCGCGUGAGUGAUGAAGGUUUUCGGAUCGUAAAGCUCUGUUGCCAGGGAARAACGCUUGGGAGAGUAACUGCUCUCAAGGUGACGGUACCUGAGAAGAAAGCCCCGGCUAACUACGU
rnacentral:rRNA from 1 species